rnacentral:rRNA from 1 species
GGUUAAGCGACUAAGCGUACACGGUGGAUGCCCUGGCAGUCAGAGGCGAUGAAGGACGUGCUAAUCUGCGAAAAGCGUCGGUAAGGUGAUAUGAACCGUUAUAACCGGCGAUGUCCGAAUGGGGAAACCCAGUGCAAUUCGUUGCACUAUCGUUAACUGAAUACAUAGGUUAACGAGGCGAACCGGGGGAACUGAAACAUCUAAGUACCCCGAGGAAAAGAAAUCAACCGAGAUUCCCCCAGUAGCGGCGAGCGAACGGGGAGCAGCCCAGAGUCUGAAUCAGCUUGUGUGUUAGUGGAACGGUCUGGAAAGUCCGACGGUACAGGGUGAUAGUCCCGUACACCAAAAUGCACAGGCUGUGAACUCGAAGAGUAGGGCGGGACACGUGGUAUCCUGUCUGAAUAUGGGGGGACCAUCCUCCAAGGCUAAAUACUCCUGACUGACCGAUAGUGAACCAGUACCGUGAGGGAAAGGCGAAAAGAACCCCGGCGAGGGGAGUGAAAAAGAACCUGAAACCGUGUACGUACAAGCAGUGGGAGCACCUUCGGGUGUGACUGCGUACCUUUUGUAUAAUGGGUCAGCGACUUAUAUUCUGUAGCAAGGUUAACCGUAUAGGGGAGCCGCAGGGAAACCGAGUCUUAACUGGGCGUUAAGUUGCAGGGUAUAGACCCGAAACCCGGUGAUCUAGCCAUGGGCAGGUUGAAGGUUGGGUAACACUAACUGGAGGACCGAACCGACUAAUGUUGAAAAAUUAGCGGAUGACUUGUGGCUGGGGGUGAAAGGCCAAUCAAACCGGGAGAUAGCUGGUUCUCCCCGAAAGCUAUUUAGGUAGCGCCUCGUGAAUUCAUCUUCGGGGGUAGAGCACUGUUUCGGCUAGGGGGUCAUCCCGACUUACCAACCCGAUGCAAACUACGAAUACCGAAGAAUGUUAUCACGGGAGACACACGGCGGGUGCUAACGUCCGUCGUGAAGAGGGAAACAACCCAGACCGCCAGCUAAGGUCCCAAAGUCAUGGUUAAGUGGGAAACGAUGUGGGAAGGCACAGACAGCCAGGAUGUUGGCUUAGAAGCAGCCAUCAUUUAAAGAAAGCGUAAUAGCUCACUGGUCGAGUCGGCCUGCGCGGAAGAUGUAACGGGGCUAAACCAUGCACCGAAGCUGCGGCAGCGACACUAUGUGUUGUUGGGUAGGGGAGCGUUCUGUAAGCCUGCGAAGGUGACCUGUGAGGGUUGCUGGAGGUAUCAGAAGUGCGAAUGCUGACAUAAGUAACGAUAAAGCGGGUGAAAAGCCCGCUCGCCGGAAGACCAAGGGUUCCUGUCCAACGUUAAUCGGGGCAGGGUGAGUCGACCCCUAAGGCGAGGCCGAAAGGCGUAGUCGAUGGGAAACAGGUUAAUAUUCCUGUACUUGGUGUUACUGCGAAGGGGGGACGGAGAAGGCUAUGUUAGCCGGGCGACGGUUGUCCCGGUUUAAGCAUGUAGGCUGGUUGUCCAGGCAAAUCCGGAUAAUCAAGGCUGAGGUGUGAUGACGAGGCACUACGGUGCUGAAGUAACAAAUGCCCUGCUUCCAGGAAAAGCCUCUAAGCAUCAGGUAACAUCAAAUCGUACCCCAAACCGACACAGGUGGUCAGGUAGAGAAUACCAAGGCGCUUGAGAGAACUCGGGUGAAGGAACUAGGCAAAAUGGUGCCGUAACUUCGGGAGAAGGCACGCUGGUGUGUAGGUGAAGUCCCUGCGGAUGGAGCUGAGACCAGUCGAAGAUACCAGCUGGCUGCAACUGUUUAUUAAAAACACAGCACUGUGCAAACACGAAAGUGGACGUAUACGGUGUGACGCCUGCCCGGUGCCGGAAGGUUAAUUGAUGGGGUUAUCCGUAAGGAGAAGCUCUUGAUCGAAGCCCCGGUAAACGGCGGCCGUAACUAUAACGGUCCUAAGGUAGCGAAAUUCCUUGUCGGGUAAGUUCCGACCUGCACGAAUGGCGUAAUGAUGGCCAGGCUGUCUCCACCCGAGACUCAGUGAAAUUGAACUCGCUGUGAAGAUGCAGUGUACCCGCGGCAAGACGGAAAGACCCCGUGAACCUUUACUAUAGCUUGACACUGAACAUUGAGCCUUGAUGUGUAGGAUAGGUGGGAGGCUUUGAAGCGUGGACGCCAGUCUGCGUGGAGCCAACCUUGAAAUACCACCCUUUAAUGUUUGAUGUUCUAACGUUGGCCCCUUACCGGGGUUGCGGACAGUGUCUGGUGGGUAGUUUGACUGGGGCGGUCUCCUCCCAAAGCGUAACGGAGGAGCACGAAGGUUAGCUAAUCCUGGUCGGACAUCAGGAGGUUAGUGCAAUGGCAUAAGCUAGCUUGACUGCGAGCGUGACGGCGCGAGCAGGUGCGAAAGCAGGUCAUAGUGAUCCGGUGGUUCUGAAUGGAAGGGCCAUCGCUCAACGGAUAAAAGGUACUCCGGGGAUAACAGGCUGAUACCGCCCAAGAGUUCAUAUCGACGGCGGUGUUUGGCACCUCGAUGUCGGCUCAUCACAUCCUGGGGCUGAAGUAGGUCCCAAGGGUAUGGCUGUUCGCCAUUUAAAGUGGUACGCGAGCUGGGUUUAGAACGUCGUGAGACAGUUCGGUCCCUAUCUGCCGUGGGCGCUGGAGAAUUGAGGGGGGCUGCUCCUAGUACGAGAGGACCGGAGUGGACGCAUCACUGGUGUUCGGGUUGUCAUGCCAAUGGCACUGCCCGGUAGCUAAAUGCGGAAGAGAUAAGUGCUGAAAGCAUCUAAGCACGAAACUUGCCCCGAGAUGAGUUCUCCCUGAGACUUUAAGUCUCCUGAAGGAACGUUAAAGACGAUGACGUUGAUAGGCCGGGUGUGUAAGCGCAGCGAUGCGUUGAGCUAACCGGUACUAAUGAACCGUGAGGCUUAACCUUACAACGCCGAAGAUGUUUUG